UCUUCGUCUCCUACGUUUGCGCGGAUGAAGCCGAUUCAACAGGAAAUCUGCAGCAAAUCGUGGACCACGUCUCUUGCCCAUGAUCCCGUUCGUAAUUUGAAUAACAGUCCUGCAAAGGCAGGACUGGUUGAGGGGCAAGUUUCUCUAUAAAAGGGAGAAGAAAACCUAGAACAAAGAGGGAAAAAGAUCAGAGAAAAAAACACAGCGACGGGGGGAAGAAAAAUAAAACCCAGAAAACCAAAAAGACCCAGAAAAACAGAGCAAUCAACCCAGAAAAACAGAGCACACAAAACACAACCCAAAAAAAAAAAUACAGAGUCAAGAACGGAAAAACUGGAGCCAAAACAAAAGCAAAAACCCCGGAGCAAAGAAAUAAUACACAGAGAGAAGGAGAGGAAAGGAAUCCAGUAUACACAGAGAAUUGUUCCCGCUAUUGCCUUCAUCUCUGCAGACGUCCCUGCAUAAAAAAACCCAACACAAAACCCAGAUCCCGAAUUGGAAGGAGAAGCCAGCACCGUCCUCAAUUCAUCAUCAUAAGGACUGAGAAAGCAGGGAAAAACAAAGAAAAAAGAGAGGACAGUGGGCAUAGAAGCAAAGGAAAGCAGGAGUGAAAGCUAUAAGCGGAGGAGGGCCACCGCGCUGCCACCAUCCGCACCGUCUCCAGAGAUCAGGUAUAUCUUACAAUUCAAAGGAUUGAUUGAUGUGAUUAACUAUUGAAAAGUGAAGAGACAAAAAGAGGACUAGGCUAAGAGAAGAGAUGCUGGUUCAAUUCCAAACUGGAACACCAUUCGGUUAUUGGAUCAUAACUAGAGCUGUAGACCUUGGAUUUUGGUCUGGUUUAUAUGGAUGGAAAGCUAAGACAUAGACCUAAAACUUUCACGGGGAGUCCAAGACUCAAUUCUACCGUUUUCAAGUUCAAAUCUUAGCAACAACGGAGAAGUCGGAAUCUGUCAUGCAGCUCAGACACUGUUCGGUUUUUCAGUUCAUAUGUUGAGUUCUAGAAGUCCAAAUGAGCUCUGGUUUUUUUUGUUGGAAAGCUAAGACAAUUGCCCACAACUUUCAUAGAACAAAGGGCUCUAAUUCUGAUGUUAGCAAUGGCGUUUUGGCCAGCCAACAAUAUCAAUAAUCAGCCAACAAUGUCAAUAACCAGCAGCGAACAAUGUCAAAAACCAGCCACCAAAUCAAUGGUUGCCCACCAACUAAAUAGUUUGUCAACCAAUCAAUAGUUUCAAAUUUUAGCCUAUAAAAGGAGGCAUUUGCCAUGUAUUUAGUCAUCUUGGUUUUCAGAUCAA